AAUAAAAAAGCAGAUUUAUGUCAGUUUAUUUAUAGUUAGAUAAAAUGGUUAAAUUCCUAGGAAAAAAAAUGAAAUGAUCAAAAUUGGCUCAAGCAGAAGUUUAAAAGCCCGAAUUGUCUAAUUGCAUUUAAAUAAAUUGAGUACCUAGUCAAAAUUUUUCAUACCAAGAAAACCACAAGGCCCAGAGGUUUCUACAGGUGAGUCCUAACAAAACUUAAAAGUACAGAUGAUUUCAAUCUUACACAGAAGCACACCCCAACUCAAAAUUACUGACAGAUGUGCUAUGUCACAUAGCGAUUGUAAUUGGUAGGAUUCUUAACAUAUUAUGCAAUUGGACCAUUUUAAAUAUUCUUGAUAAAUUUCCACUUGAUACAUAGCUCUUGAGAGCUCACUUUCUGAAUAUUCUAACUGAUGAUGAUAUAGAUAGAAAAAAACUAUAAGUCUUGUCCUUAAGGAAUUCACAAUCUACUGAAAUAUCCAGGAAAACAAAUACACAAUUAUUAGUCAUUAUAUUAUAAAAUUUUACCUAUCCAGGGCACCUAAACUGUUCCGCCUAGAUUGGAAAGAGGCCGUCAGGUUCAGGCUUCCCAUAGGAAGUGACACCAUUGUAGAGUCUUGAGUUGUGAGUAGGAUUUGGGCAGACAAAUAAGAGAAAAGAUCAUGUUAGUAAUAAGGAACUCUAAGGGCCAAGGCUUAAGGAUAAAAUAGUUGAUGAUAUUUAAACAUUUUAAACAUUAUUUAGUAUGUCAGUAAUUCAGAUCAAGGUAAGACGAGAGACUGAAAAUUGUCACUAUAUUAUCUAAGACCUUGUGUGAUGCUCACACGGCUUGAAUUUUCAACUUGGGGACACUAGGAAGCCAUGCUCAAAUCAAAAGAGGUCAAAUGUGCCAAUCAGAAGCUGAGUCGGGGACUAUCUUCAUGGUUAUUUUUGUCUUCAUAUUUCCUCUUCUCUGUAGGUAUGUGCUUGUCUUUGGGAGUUUGCCUUGCUCUGUAUUUGCUCAUUGAUGGUUACUAACUCAUGGUCAGAAGCUCUCAGAAUUUUAUUAAAUGAGUCCAAAUUCUGAAUAAGCGCAGGAUAUUUUACUACAGCAACUCUGAAACAUAAUCAUUAAAUUAGUUUCAGUAUUUUCGCCCUCACAAAAUAGCUCACCCUUUGUUAGAGGUAUCAUGAUUAUAAUUACUAUUUAUUAAGCACUUUGUACUUGCAUUAUGGUAAUAGUCCUUCAUUCUUUGUAUAAAUAUGUUGUUAAUUAACUUACUAAGUACAGAAAGAUUUGUAGAACAGCUACUAUGUGCUAGGUAUUAUGCAUACUAGGAGUAGAAUGAUGUGUAAAAUCAACAUAGGUGUAAGACAGGUAAUAAUCAGGUAAACAAUCAAAUUUUACAAAUUUAUUAAAAUAUAACCAUGUAUACACAUACAUGACUAUACACACCUGUAUAUAUGAAUACACACAUAUGCAUACAUAUAUAAAAUUAUGAACCCAAACAUUGCAGUACUACAUAAAUGAUAAUAAGAUAUGUGGUUGGUAUAGUCAAGAAAGAAAUUUCUGUGAAGGUGACAUUGAAAUAGCAUUCCCUUCUUACAAAAGCUUAUGGAUAGGAAUUAAUGGCACCAUUUUAAAAAUGAAUAAAUUAAGGCUUAGAGAGAUUAUAUAAAUUGCCAUGGUUCACGUUAUUAAGUGAUAGAUCUGGGAUUAAUUCCAAAUACUAGCUUGGCC
rnacentral:lncRNA from 10 species